UAAGGAAUAUUGCUCAAUGGGAGAAAUCCUGAAGCAGCAACGCCGCGUGGAGGAUGAAGGGUUUUUAACUUGUAAACUCCUGUAAAGAAGGAAAAAAUUCCCAUUAGAUGGGAAAUGAUGGUACUUCUGGAGUAAGCCCCGGCUAACUACGUGCCAGCAGCCGCGGUAAUACGUAGGGGGCAAGCGUUGUCCGGAUUUACUGGGUGUAAAGGGUGCUCAGGCGGAUUUGUAAGUCAGAGGUGAAAUCUCACAGCUUAACUGUGAAACUGCCUUUGAUACUGCAAGCCUAGAGUAUGAAGAGAGUGAUGGAAUAUCUGGUGUAGCAGUGAAAUGCGUAGAUAUCAGAUAGAACACCAAUGGCGAAGGCAGUCACUUGGUCCAUAACUGACGCUAAAGCACGAAAGCGUGGGUAGCAAACAGGAUUAGAUACCCUGGUAGUCCACGCCCUAAACGAUGAAUACUAGAUGUCGGCUUCGCAUGAAGUCAGUAUCUGAGCUAACGCAUUAAGUAUUCCACCUGGGAAGUACGAUCGCAAGGUUGAAACUCAAAUGAAUUGACGGGGUCAUAGCUGUUUCCUG
rnacentral:rRNA from 1 species